ACUCCUACGGGAGGCAGCAGUAGGGAAUCUUCCACAAUGGACGAAAGUCUGAUGGAGCAACGCCGCGUGAGUGAAGAAGGAUUUCGGUUCGUAAAACUCUGUUGCAAGGGAAGAACAAGUAGCGUAGUAACUGGCGCUACCUUGACGGUACCUUGUUAGAAAGCCACGGCUAACUACGUGCCAGCAGCCGCGGUAAUACGUAGGUGGCAAGCGUUGUCCGGAAUUAUUGGGCGUAAAGCGCGCGCAGGUGGUUUCUUAAGUCUGAUGUGAAAGCCCACGGCUCAACCGUGGAGGGUCAUUGGAAACUGGGAAACUUGAGUGCAGAAGAGGAUAGUGGAAUUCCAAGUGUAGCGGUGAAAUGCGUAGAGAUUUGGAGGAACACCAGUGGCGAAGGCGACUAUCUGGUCUGUAACUGACACUGAGGCGCGAAAGCGUGGGGAGCAAACAGGAUUAGAUACCCUGGUAGUC
rnacentral:rRNA from 1 species